rnacentral:rRNA from 1 species
AUUGAACGCUGGCGGCAGGCCUAACACAUGCAAGUCGAGCGGAUGAAGGGAGCUUGCUCCUGGAUUCAGCGGCGGACGGGUGAGUAAUGCCUAGGAAUCUGCCUGGUAGUGGGGGAUAACGUCCGGAAACGGGCGCUAAUACGGCAUACGUCCUGAGGGAGAAAGUGGGGGAUCUUCGGACCUCACGCUAUCAGAUGAGCCUAGGUCGGAUUAGCUAGUUGGUGGGGUAAAGGCCUACCAAGGCGACGAUCCGUAGCUGGUCUGAGAGGAUGAUCAGUCACACUGGAACUGAGACACGGUCCAGACUCCUACGGGAGGCAGCAGUGGGGAAUAUUGGACAAUGGGCGAAAGCCUGAUCCAGCCAUGCCGCGUGUGUGAAGAAGGUCUUCGGAUUGUAAAGCACUUUAAGUUGGGAGGAAGAGCAGUAAGUUAAUACCUUGCUGUUUUGACGUUACCAACAGAAUAAGCACCGGCUAACUUCGUG